GAACGGUUGUGGUUAAUUGCUAAGAUCCCAAACUUAAGUAAAAAAGUCAUUAAAAUUAGUUCACAAGGGGAUGAGUUACUAGAAGUUAUUUCAUAGGGAGAGUAAGAUGAGUCCAUUUCAAAGGUAUAGAUGGUUGACUUGAUAAUAAUAAAGGAUUUCCCUAUCAAACCUCUUCUAUCGUACAUUGAUAAGUUGGUGUGGACUGCUCAUGGUAGGGUUAUCCGAAAAGGUUCACUCAUUCGCACUCUGUAUACAAAUCUAAUUAAAUCGAGGGCAAAAUGACAGAUUUGUACCAUUCCAUCCUCUAUUGUAGAGUAUGAGAAAUCUUUCUUCAUGUGAUACACCAGAGUUGUAGCAUCCAACGACUAGGAGGUUUAUUGUAAUGGAGCGCGCCAUUUUUUGGAGGAUUGUUGUUAAGCUGCGUGAGUGGCUGACCAACAAUA